UACGUAGGGACCAAGCGUUGUCCGGAAUCAUUGGGCGUAAAGAGCUCGUAGGCGGUUUGUCGCGUCGGAUGUGAAAACCUGGGGCUUAACUCCGGGCCUGCAUUCGAUACGGGCAGACUAGAGUUCGGUAGGGGAGACUGGAAUUCCUGGUGUAGCGGUGAAAUGCGCAGAUAUCAGGAGGAACACCGGUGGCGAAGGCGGGUCUCUGGGCCGAUACUGACGCUGAGGAGCGAAAGCGUGGGGAGCAAACAGG
rnacentral:rRNA from 1 species